GAUCCGCUCUUCCCCUCAAAACACUAUAGUGUCCUGAACCCACCAGAGAUCCACUCUUUCCCUCAAAACACUAUAGUGUUCUGAACCCACCAGAGAUCCACUCUUCCCCUCACUAGUGUUUUUGUUUAGUGUCCCACAGAUAUUGCGUCCCAAAUGAAACCCUAUCAUUUAAGUAGUGCACUACAUCAGGGCCCUGGUUAAAUGUAGUGCUCUAGAAAGGGAAUAGGGUGCUAUGGGCCCUAGUUAAAAGAAGUGCACUAGAUAGGGAAUAGGGUGCUAUAGGCCCUGGUUAAAAGAAGUGCACUAGAUAGGGAAUAGGGUGCUAUAGGCCCUGUUUAAAAGAAGUGCACUAGAUAGGGAAUAGGGUGCUAUAGACCCUGGUUAAAAUUAGUGCAUUACAUAGGGAAUAGGGUGCCAUUUGGGCCACAUAGACCCACCCCAUGCUCAUUUAAAUGACCACAGACAGAGCGGUCUGUUGACCACAGCACUUUAAUCACCACCAGCCAGGCCAAGCUAAGCGAUCACAGAUCUGCUCCAGGCCAAGCUAAGCGAUCACAGAUCUGCGCCAGGCAAAGCUAAGCGAUCACAGAUCUGCUCCAGGCCAAGCUAAGCAAUCACAGAUCUGCGCCAGGCCAAGCUAAGCGAUCACAGAUCUGCUCCAGGCCAAGCUAAGCGAUCACAGAUCUGCGCCAAGCUAAGCAAUCACAGAUCUGCUGCAGGCCAAGCUAAGCGAUCACAGAUCUGCUCCAGGCCAAGCUAAGCGAUCACAGAUCUGUGCCAGGCCAAGCUAAACGAUCACAGGUCAGCGCCAGGCCAAGCUAAGCCCCGUCCUGAUUCAUACUAUACAAAACAGCUCCCCUCAUCCACAAAUCUGCAAUCCCAAUAAUCUGUCCUUUCUCCUGAAGUGUGCACUUGUGCACUCCUUCACAAAUGUAAAAGCAUUGGAUAGGUGGAGGUAUGGACUAGAGGAUAGGUGGAGGCAUGGUCUGGAGGAUAGGUGGAGGCAUGGUCUGGAGGAUAGGUGGAGGCAUGGUCUGGAGGAUAGGUGGAGGCAUGGUCUGGAGGAUAGGUGGAGGUAUGGACUGGAGGAUAGGUGGAGGUAUGGACUAGAGGAUAGGUGGUAUGGACUAGACUAGAGGAUAGGUGGAGGUAUGGACUAGAUGAUAGGUGGAGGUAUGGACUAGAGGAUAGGUGGAGGUAUGGACUAGAGGAUAGGUGGAGGUAUGGACUAGACUAGAGGAUAGGUGGAGGUAUGGACUAGACUAGAGGAUAGGUGGAGGUAUGGACUAGACUAGAGGAUAGGUGGAGGUAUGGACUAGACUAGAGGAUAGGUGGAGGUAUGGACUAGACUAGAGGAUAGGUGGAGGUAUGGACUAGAGGAUAGGUGGAGGUAUGGACUAGAGGAUAGGUGGAGGUAUGGACUAGACUAGAGGAUAGGUGGAGGUAUGGACUAGAGGAUAGGUGGAGGUAUGGACUAGACUAGAGGAUAGGUGGAGGUAUGGACUAGAGGAUAGGUGGAGACAUGGACUAGAGGAUAGGUGGAGGUAUGGACUAGAGGAUAGGUGGAGGUAUGGACUAGACUAGAGGAUAGGUGAAGGCAUGGACUAGAGGAUAGGUGGAGGUAUGGACUAGACUAGAGGAUAGGUGGAGGUAUGGACUAGAGGAUAGGUGGAGGCAAGGACUAGAGGAUAGGUGGAGGCAUGGACUAGAGGAUAGGUGGAGGCAUGGACUAGAGGAUAGGUGGAGGCAUGGACUAGAGGAUAGGUGGAGGCAUGGACUAGACUAGAGGAUAGGUGGAGGUAUGGACUAGAGGAUAGGCGGAGGUAUGGACUAGACUAGAGGAUAGGUGGAGGUAUGGACUAGAGGAUAGGUGGAGGUAUGGACUAGACUAGAGGAUAGGUGGAGGCAUGGACUGGACUAGAGGAUAGGUGGAGGUAUGGACUAGACUAGAGGAUAGGUGGAGGUAUGGACUAGACUAGAGAAUAGGUGGAGGUAUGGACUAGACUAGAGGAUAGGUGGAGGUAUGGACUAGAGGAUAGGUGGAGGUAUGGACUAGAGGAUAGGUGGAGGUAUGGACUAGACUAGAGGAUAGGUGGAGGUAUGGACUAGACUAGAGGAUAGGUGGAGGUAUGGACUAGGGAUAGGUGGAGGUAUGGACUAGAGGAUAGGUGGAGGUAUGGACUAGACUAGAGGAUAGGUGGAGGUAUGGACUAGAGGAUAGGUGGAGGUAUGGACUAGAGGAUAGGUGGAGGCAUGGACUAGAGGAUAGGUGGAGGUAUGGACUAGACUAGAGGAUAGGUGGAGGUAUGGACUAGAGGAUAGGUGGAAGUAUGGACUAGAGGAUAGGUGGAGGUAUGGACUAGACUAGAGGAUAGGUGGAGGCAUGGACUAGACUAGAGGAUAGGUGGAGGUAUGGACUAGACUAGAGGAUAGGUGGAGGUAUGGACUAGACUAGAGCGAGUUCCACCAUGAAUUUGCUUUUUUACCCAAGAAAGGAAGUGAACAAGUGCACACUGAUAAAAAGGACAGAUUGUUGGGCCCCGUGCUGAACUCCCUCCUUAGGUUUCUAUUGGGAAGGGAAGGGAAGGGAAGGGAUAGGAUAGCGGGAGGAGAGGUGUAUCACCGCAGAGUUGGGGGUCAAAGGUCAUUGCACAAUAUUAUAGACUUGCUGUUCUGUAAAAGCCUAAUAUGCAAUGCAUUGUUUAUUAUUAUUAUUAUUAUUAUUACCAUAAUAAAAUAUGAUAAAAUAUAUUAUUUUCGUAUUUUUCCAUUUGUCUGAUGUCAAUCUCUCCCGCUUUGCCAGGGAGCCACCAUUGUUGGAUGAUGUAUAUUAUAUUAUACAUGUGUAAUAAAUAAGUCAUAUUAAUAAUCAUCGUGUUGAGAAAUGAAUCCCAUGUAGUCUUCUUCAUCAUGUUGGUCUGAUAAUAUUACGUGGAUGACGACACCUAAUAAAACACGUGUUGCUGUUCAGCGUGUUGUGUGUUCUGUCUGGUCAGUUGCUGUUCAGCGUGUUGUGUGUUCUGUCUGGUCUGUUGCUGUUCAGCGUGUUGUGUGUUCUGUCUGUUGCUGUUCAGCGUGUUGU
ensembl:lncRNA